UGAGCCUACGGGGGGCAGCAGUGAGGAAUAUUGGUCAAUGGGCGAGAGCCUGAGCCAGCCAAGUCGCGUGAGGGAGUACUGCCCUAUGGGUUGUAAACCUCUUUUGUCGGGGAGCAAAAGCCGGACGUGUCCGGCUGUGAGAGUACCCGAAGAAAAAGCAUCGGCUAACUCCGUGCCAGCAGCCGCGGUAAUACGGAGGAUGCGAGCGUUAUCCGGAUUUAUUGGGUUUAAGGGGGGCGCAGGCGGAUUUUUAAGUCAGCGGUCAAAUCGGGGGGCUCAACCCCAUCCAGCCGGUGAAACGGGGG
rnacentral:rRNA from 1 species